rnacentral:rRNA from 1 species
AAUAGAUACCCGGGUAGUCCACGCCGUAAACGAUGAGUGCUAAGUGUUAGAGGGUUUCCGCCCUUUAGUGCUGCAGCUAACGCAUUAAGCACUCCGCCUGGGGAGUACGGUCGCAAGACUGAAACUCAAAGGAAUUGACGGGGGCCCGCACAAGCGGUGGAGCAUGUGGUUUAAUUCGAAGCAACGCGAAGAACCUUACCAGGUCUUGACAUCCCACUGACCGGUAUAGAGAUAUACCUUUCCCUUCGGGGACAGUGGUGACAGGUGGUGCAUGGUUGUCGUCAGCUCGUGUCGUGAGAUGCUGGGUUAAGUCCCGCAACGAGCGCAACCCUUGAUCUUAGUUGCCAGCAUUUAGUUGGGCACUCUAAGGUGACUGCCGGUGACAAACCGGAGGAAGGUGGGGAUGACGUCAAAUCAUCAUGCCCCUUAUGACCUGGGCUACACACGUGCUACAAUGGAUGGUACAAAGGGCUGCAAGACUGCGAAGUCAAGCCAAUCCAUAAAACCAUUCUCAGUUCGGAUUGCAGG